AUUUUUAUAGCUUAUCAUCUAGAGCGUACCACUGAAGCUGGUGAGGAAAUUAAAUAUUUAAAAAUA
rnacentral:tRNA from 1 species